rnacentral:rRNA from 1 species
AAAGCGGGAGCCCGGAGAUGGGCACUGAGACAAGGGCCCAGGCCCUACGGGGCGCAGCAGUCGCGAAAACUCCGCAAUGCGCGAAAGCGUGACGGGGCUACCCCGAGUGCCGUCCGCUGAGGAUGGCUUUUCCCCGGUGUAAUGAGCCGGGGGAAUAAGGAGAGGGCAAGUCUGGUGUCAGCCGCCGCGGUAAUACCAGCUCUCCGAGUAGUAGGGACGAUUAUUGGGCUUAAAGCGUCCGUAGCCGGCUUAGCAAGUCUCCUGUUAAAUUCAGCGACCUAAUCGUUGAGCCGCGGGAGAUACUACUAGGCUAGGAGGCGGGAGAGGCCGACGGUAUUCCCGGGGUAGGGGUGAAAUCCUAUAAUCCCGGGAGGACCACCAGUGGCGAAGGCGGUCGGCU